CCACCACCCCCCAAACCAGACACCACCAUAACCGAACGUGUCUAUUUAGACUUCAGCAUUUGCCCUAAUUACUUCACAAACAGAACUCUCGGCGAUGACUUGUCAAAUUGCUCUGAUUCCGAGCCAAUUGGUCGCCUUGUUCUUGGCCUAUACGGAAACCUAGUUCCUAUAACUGUUUCAAAUUUCAAAUCUAUGUGUACAGGUACCUCUGGUUCAACUUAUAAGGGCACUUUGGUCCAAAAGAUUUUCCCGGGUCAGUUACCAAUUGGUCGCCUUAUUCUUGGCCUAUACGGAAACCUAGUUCCCAUAACUGUUUCAAAUUUCAAAGCUAUGUGCACCGGUACCUCUGGUUCAACUUAUAAGGGUACUUUGGUCCAGAAAAUUUUCCCGGGUCAGUUUUUUAUGGCGGGAAGACAGGGUAGGAGAGAUAAAGGAGAAGUGAAACCACCGUUGGAGUUGAUUAGAAAUACAGAGACAACUGAA
rnacentral:lncRNA from 1 species